rnacentral:rRNA from 1 species
AUAUCAAUAAGCGGAGGAAAAGAAACUAACAAGGAUUCCCCUAGUAGCGGCGAGUGAAGCGGGAAGAGCUCAAAUUUGAAAUCUGGCGUCCUUCGGGCGUCCGAGUUGUAAUCUAUAGAAGCGUUUUCCGCGCUGGACCGUGUCUAAGUCCCUUGGAACAGGGUAUCAAAGAGGGUGAUAAUCCCGUACUUGACACGACCACCAGUGCUCUGUGAUACGUUCUCUACGAGUCGAGUUGUUUGGGAAUGCAGCUCAAAAUGGGUGGUAAAUUCCAUCUAAAGCUAAAUAUUGGCGAGAGACCGAUAGCGAACAAGUACCGUGAGGGAAAGAUGAAAAGCACUUUGGAAAGAGAGUUAAACAGUACGUGAAAUUGUUGAAAGGGAAACGAUUGAAGUCAGUCGUGUUCAUUGGACUCAGCCAGUUCUUCUGGUCUAUUUCCUUUGAACGGGUCAACAUCAGUUUUGUCCGGUGGAUAAAGGUAUUAGGAAUGUGGCUCUUUCGGGAGUGUUAUAGCCUAGUAUUGCAUACACUGGGGGAGACUGAGGACUGCAGCUCGCCUUUUGGCCGGGGUUCGCCCACGUUCGAGCUUAGGAUGUUGACAU